GAUGAACGCUGGCGGCGUGCCUAAUACAUGCAAGUCGAGCGAACAGACGAGGAGCUUGCUCCUCUGACGUUAGCGGCGGACGGGUGAGUAACACGUGGAUAGCCUACCUAUAAGACUGGGAUAACUUCGGGAAACCGGAGCUAAUACCGGAUAAUAUAUUGAACCGCAUGGUUCAAUAGUGAAAGACGGUUUUGCUGUCACUUAUAGAUGGAUCCGCGCCGCAUUAGCUAGUUGGUAAGGUAACGGCUUACCAAGGCAACGAUGCGUAGCCGACCUGAGAGGGUGAUCGGCCACACUGGAACUGAGACACGGUCCAGACUCCUACGGGAGGCAGCAGUAGGGAAUCUUCCGCAAUGGGCGAAAGCCUGACGGAGCAACGCCGCGUGAGUGAUGAAGGUCUUCGGAUCGUAAAACUCUGUUAUUAGGGAAGAACAAAUGUGUAAGUGACUAUGCACGUCUUGACGGUACCUAAUCAGAAAGCCACGGCUAACUACGUG
rnacentral:rRNA from 1 species